rnacentral:rRNA from 1 species
CACGUAGGGCGCAAGCGUUGUCCGGAAUUAUUGGGCGUAAAGAGCGUGUAGGCGGCUUUACAGGUCCGUUGUGAAAACUCGAGGCUCAACCUCGAGAUGGUCGGCGGAAACCAUCUGGCUAGAGUCCGGAAGAGGAAAGUGGAAUUCCUGGUGUGAGCGGUGAAAUGCGCAGAUAUCAGGAAGAACACCCGUGGCGAAGGCGGCUUUCUGGGACGGUACUGACGCUGAGACGCGAAAGCGUGGGGAGCGAACAGG